GGCGCGCUGCGCCGGCUGUCUUGCUCGCAGUAUAGUGGCGGCAGGCCGCCUGCUUGCAGCUCGGGAAAUUGCAGGGCCCUGUUGCUCGCAGUGUAGGGGUAGCACGUCCGACUGCUGGCAGCUGGGGACACUGCCUGGCCCUCUUGCUCCAAAUGUAUUGGCGGGUGGCUCCCCUGCUGGCAGCUACGGACAGUGCUGGGUCGUCUUGCUUGCAGUGUAGUCGCGGCACGCCCCCUUCUGGCCGCUGGGGUCACUACAGGAUCCUCUUGCUCAUGAUGUGGUGCCCCUACGCCACCUCCUGGCAGCUAAGGACACUGCAGGGCCCUCUUGCUCCCGGUGUGACGGCUGGCGUCCCCUACUGGCCACCUCCCGAACAAACUCGGGGCGCCAGUUAUUAAGCCCCAUCAGUUCUGUAAAUUCAAACUGAAACGGAGCUAUUACUGGGGAGACCUGAUGUCCCAAUUCUUAACUUGGAGGAAAGAUUUUCACUUUCCUCCAAGAAACACUCUCUAAGAACACAGCACUCAGAAAAGCCAGCCUGAUACCUAGAUUACACGGUUCACAGCCUUACAGGUUAGUAAGGAAGGUCAUUUCCUCGUAGACCCAGGAAUUUAGGGAUAUUUUGGGGACUUCAAGAAGACAGGAAUUCACACAAAGCUAUAAGGACUGCAGCUGAAAUCUGAGAUUCUGUAUGAAAACUUCCAGCAAAGAAACCUGAAAGCACCUACCUGGUCAUCUCCUGUUCUUGCUGCACUUACAUAAAUAAUCAGGCAAAAUCUAACAAAACUAGACUUAUUUUUAAAACAAGAAUAGUCUUACUUUGAUUAUGAUAAAAAAUGAUGGUUACUUGUUACUUUCUGUGCUGGGUGAGCAUCUUUAGUUUUUGUUCUAUAAACCUACUAAAGACAAUGAAGCAUUUCCAAACAAUGUGCUACAAAUACAGGUAAAGUAAACUUAAUAUGUGAUUAGCCUUAAUUAUGAAACCACAGAGUGUCUCCUAGUGUGAGUUCUGCUGGGACACAGAAACCCACCCAUUCCUGAGCCUUGGAGCAAAGUUACCUCCUGUUUUGCCUGUUUUGUAUAAAGCCUAGAAAUACAGACAAACUUAAAAACAUUUGUCUUUUUGAGAUUUAGGUAAAAAAAUUAGUAAAUUUAUUGCCCAGUAUGCAGUCAUAUACCAUAUAACAAUGUUUCAAUCCAUGUCAUACCACAUAUAUGAUGGUGGUCCCACAAGAUUGUAAUGCUGUAUUUUUACUUUACCUUUGAAAUGUUUAGAUAAGUUCAGAUCCAUAAAUAGUUACCAUAAUGUUACAGUUGCCUACAGUAUUCAGUACUGUCAUGUGCUGCACAGGUGUGCCACCAGAGAGUGACAGGCUCUACCGUAUAGCCUAGUGUGCAGUAGGCUGUGCCAUCUAGGUGUGUGUAAGUGCGCUCCAUUGUGUUCACACAACUAUGAAAUCACCUCCGACACAUUUCUCAGAAUGUAUACCUGUCGUUAAGUGACAGGACUGCAGUUGUAAAAGAUGCAGGUCUGAGGAUUCAGGGUCUCUCCUUGCAACUCACAAGGCUGGCUCUAGAAGGCACUCAUAGCACACAGGAGAGAAGUAACCCGUGCACAUAGAGAGAAAUCCUGGAGAUAAUGCUUGGGCUGUCUCCAGUGAUGUUAAGAGCAAAAUUACAGCUGCCAUUUACCAAGUGCUUCCCAGGCACUGUGCUGACUGCUGAAACAUACUUUUUGUUUUUGUUUGUUUGUUUGAUGUCAUCAGCAGUAUAGCUUCCUUGGAAGCUUUCAUUAAUGUUCUCAUUUUGCAGUAAGAAGAAACUAAGUCUUAGCGAUAACCAAGUGGCAGACGUGGCAGAAGAAAAAUUUGAAACCAGGGCCACAUUGAGCCUGCAGGCAUGUCUGGCCUGUUCUGAGGACAGACAUUUCAAGCACAGAGAGGCACAGGAGCACUGUUUGAGCCUGGAGCUUAAAUCGCGAAUCCAGAGAGCCCUCUCUGAGCAUGCGUUGUGCCCAGAGUUGGUUUCAUGUGGAUCAACUCAGGCUUCUAUGGCAGGGCCACAGACAGGGUCCACAGAAGUGGUUUCUGCCAAUCUUUGAAGAGUCCUGAUCUUAUAUAAUCAAAGAAGCUUCAAGUCUGGAAGAGAGAGGCAAAAGGUGAGAGUCAGGAGAAUCUGAAGAUGCUACACUGCUGGCUUUGAAGAUGAGGAUGGGUCAUGAGCCUAAUAAAAAAGCUUACUCAAUAUGAAGACGAUGGGGAUAAAGACCUUUAUGAUGAUUCAGUUUCACUUAAUGGACAGUGUUCCACAGUGAGCAGGUACAUGCAAAUCUGCCCUCAAAGGCCAAGGGAGCUGAGCUGUUGAAGACAGAGGCUGACAAAGCUAGUUUCUCAGAAGGAAAUAUGUAAUAGAAACUACAGACAGAAGGGAUAUCUUGAGGGCUGUGAGACAGUGGAUUCCCAAAACCACCCUCCAGAAGGUACUCCUUAUAGAACAAGAUUUUAAGGUAAAGACUUGUGCAGCUGGUCACAUCUGACUUUCUUCUUGCUAAGAGUGAUGACCACCAUGGAGGUUAGAUAGGUAUCUUUAUGAGGGGUUAUCUAUCUCACAGGAAUUGUUUAAAGAUCUUGCUGCAGAACACAAGCCUACUAUGCAAGAAUCAAACAUAGGUCUUCAUGGCAGUUUUGCUUCAAGAUGGCCUCACUCUUGCCAUGCAACAAGCUGUUUUAAGUAAAUGCUUUUUCUCUUUCUUAUAAUUUUCUUAAUAAUAUUUUCUUUUUUCUAGCUUACAUUAUUAUAAGAAUACAGCAUGUAGUGCACAUAGUACACCAAAUGUGUUAAUUGACUGCUUAUGGUACUCAUAAGGCUUUCUGUCAACAGAAAGCUAUUAGUAGCUAAGGUUUUGGGAAGUCAAAUGUUGUAUUCAGAUUCUUGACAGAGCAGGGGUCAAUGCCUCUAUUCUUCAUGUUGUUCAGGGUCAUCUAGUUGUUUCUUUCUUUGGUAUUUUUAUACGGGUAAUACAUAUACAUUAAGAAAAUAUGUACUUGUAAAUAAGACAGUAAGCUGACUAUAUUUACAUUUUAUUACAGAAAGUCUGUUCCAAAAUUAAGAUAAAACAUGAGUAUUAGGUGCAAUAUACAAUAAACAUGAAGUCAAAAUGGAAACUUCAGGUCAGAGAAACAGUGGGAGUGAGAGUGAAUGUAACUGUCUUCAACUGGACAUUUGUUUUCCUUCUAAUGGCUGAGUGUCAUCAGAUUGAGAGUGAACUGUCUACUUGCCCUGAGAUGGGCUGAGCUAGGCUGCCUGCCAUAGACUUCUAAUGGGAGAGGGAGAGAGGGAUGACAGAAUAGAAAUAAAUAACUCUCUUCCACCAUGGCUGAGGAAUUCUUUCAUGAUGAAUAUCCAAUAUUAAUUUUUUUCCUUCUCCCUCUGUUACGUGCCCUAACUAUUGGGAAUUUAUGACAUCUUCCUCUUUGUCAUUGCCAUCCAUUGAGGUCCUGGGUCCUCUUCCCCAUUCCUCACCCUAAAGACUUCUGUAUCUGCUUACAGUCACUCCCCUCACCACCUUUAGUCAGUAACCCAUCAGCACCCUGACCUCCCAGGGCUUCCAGCAAUCCAUCUCCAGGGAUAGUCCCAUUCCUCAAAUGAAUUCAAGUGGCCAAUUUCUACUACAGCUUCAUCCUUCAAGUCCAUAAUUAUUCAAUCUAAUGAAGACUUGAAUUUUCCAACUUUCUAUCUAUAUCUAUAUACACUCCCUGAGAUUUACUUCAUUGUUUAUUUAAAUUUAUUUUAAAUCCAUUUUUACUUUGUAUUUCCUUAUGAGUAAACUCAAUUGUCUUGGGCAAUGUCAUUUUAUUGUAGUUAUUUCACUAAGCUCUUCCUGGAAAAACAGGACCAAGUCUUUUUUAUAUAUACACUACCAUAACUAAAAAUUGCUUGAGAAAAAUAAACCUCACAAUGUGGCAGACCCAUAUGACUAUAAAUUUAUGAUUAUCUACCUCAACAUUUCUUGGCCAUCCUACUAUGUUUUACCAAUAGCCUGGUUUUAAUACUUCCCUUGAUUAGCAUUGUUACAUUUUCUACAUUACCCAGAAUUGACACCCCCACCACAUACACAUAACCUUUCCACUCUCUGAACAAUUAAUCACCAGGGAUCGGGGAUAAGAAUUGAAAUUUCCAGAAAUUCUCAGGAUAUCCGGAAACUUUAAAUGAAUCUUUACUUUUUAUAACAUUUAUAUGCAUAGUUUUAAAUAACAACAAGUGAUAAUACAUGGUGAAUCAUUUAUAUGUGGUAGAAUUAUACUAUAAGCUUAAGAACUUUUCUGAAAAUGAUGAUACGAUAAUAAAUGUAUAACAUUAUUAUAAUGCAAUAGUAUAUCAUGAUAAAGUAAUAUGAAUAACAAAUAGAAUGAUUUCUACUAGGUAUAGACAUUCAAUCAGAGAAAAUAUUAAAGCAGAGGGAAUAUGAGUAGAAAAUAAAUGUCAAAUAAAAAGCAUUAAAACUGUAAAAGAUGACAGCACAAAUAUUUAAUAUAACAAUAAUAUGUUAUAUAUAAUAAAAGUUAUUAUUCUGAA
rnacentral:lncRNA from 10 species